GGCGCUUUGGCGGAGUGGUUAACGCGUCAGCCUCGAACGGUUCGAUAGAACUCAAUAGCAAGCUGAUUCCUUCGGGAGCGUGUGUUCGAAUCACACAGGCGUCG